rnacentral:misc_RNA from 1 species
GAUGAAGAACGCAGCGAAAUGCGAUAAGUAGUGUGAAUUGCAGAAUUCAGUGAAUCAUCGAAUCUUUGAACGCACAUUGCGCCCCUUGGUAUUCCAUGGGGCAUGCCUGUUCGAGCGUCAUCUACACCCUCAAGCUCUGCUUGGUGUUGGGCGUCUGUCCCGCCCCCGCGCGUGGACUCGCCCCAAAUCCAUUGGCAGCGUUCCUUGCCCCCUCUCGCGCAGCACAUUGCGCUUCUCGAGGGCGGCUCCGGGACGCGAUCCAGCAAGAUGACCACCGUCUUUGACCUCGGAUCAGGUAGGGAUACCCGCUGAACUUAAGCAUAUCAAUAAGCAGAGGA